rnacentral:lncRNA from 10 species
UUGGCUAUGAAGAAGACUUGAGGUGGAUAGCUCUCUAUCUUUUAAGGUGAAAAUCAUGCAAUUUUGUUUAUAUCUCGAGAGAAAGAGGCUGUGAGUGUUGCUGGAGGGCUCGGGAAGGUCUCUGGAUGCCAGUGAGACCCCAGCCCCAGCCGGUUUUCCAGGUUCUUGACAGCAUCACAAGAACGAAUUCAGGGGGGAGUCGAGUCAGAAUGAAGCGCAAGGCGAGAAGCUUCCAUUGCAAAGCGAAAGUGUGCUCUUGAGAGGAGCGUAGCCAUGCCCGUGAGAACAAGUCAGGCACAACGGAGGCUGGGUUUCUUAUUUUAGGGAUGUUUCUUUCUCUUUCUUUCUUUCUAUUUCUUUCUUUCUUUCUUUCUUUCUUUCUUUCUUUCUUUCUUUCUUUCUUUCUUUCUUUCUUUCCUUUCUUUCUUUCUUUCUUCUUUCUUUCUUUCUUUCUGUCUUUUUUUUUUGAGACGGAGUCUCUCUUUCGCCCAGGCUGGAGUUCAGUGGCGCGAUCUCGGCUCACUGCAAGCUCCGCCUCCCGGGUUCACGCCAUUCUCCUGCCUCAGCCUCCCGAGUAGCGGGGACUACAGGCGCCGGCCACCACACCCGGCUGAUAUUUUGUAUUUUUUAGUAGAGACAGGGUUUCACCGUGUUAGCCAGGAUGGUCUCGAUCUCCUGACCUCCUGAUCUGCCUGCCUCAUCCUCCCAAAGUGCUGGGAUUACAGGUGUGAGCCACCGCGCCCAGCCCGGAUGUUUCUUUAAUAAGGGGGUGGAAUGCUCAUUAGGUAUUCUGGAAAAGGAGGGGAUUUCAGGGACUCCUCCCCGCUCCUGUUAUUGCCUCCUUUCUCCCUUAUUUGGGUUUACCUGGAAGAGUCAUGGACAUG